GUCCACGCCCUAAACGAUGGAUACUAAUCAGGAGGCGCUGCAAGGCGUUUCUUGACGGAGCGAAAGCGUUAAGUAUCCCGCCUGGGGAGUAUGGUCGCAAGGCUGAAACUCAAAGGAAUUGACGGGGGCUCACACAAGCGGUGGAGCAUGUUGCUUAAUUCGAUGCAACGCGAAGAACCUUACCCGGGCUCGAAAUGUACGGAUUAGCUCUAUGAAAGUAGAGUGACACUGUAAAAGGUGGAACGUAUAUAGGUGUUGCAUGGCUGUCGU
rnacentral:rRNA from 1 species